rnacentral:rRNA from 1 species
CCUACGGGAGGCAGCAGUGAGGAAUAUUGGUCAAUGGGCGGGAGCCUGAACCAGCCAAGUCGCGUGAGGGAAGACGGUCCUAUGGAUUGUAAACCUCUUUAGGCGGGGAGCAAAGCCGGGCACGCGUGCCCGGAGGGAGAGUACCCGCAGACUAAGCAUCGGCUAACUCCGUGCCAGCAGCCGCGUUCAUACGGAGGAUGCGAGUGUUAUCCGGAUUUAUUGGGGUUAAAGGGUGCGUAGCCUGGGAGGUAAGUCAGCGGUGAAAGGCCCCGGCUCAACGGGGUGAAGUGCCAUUGAUACUGGCUUGCUGGAAUGCGGAUGACGUGGGAGGAAUGUGUGGUGUAGCGGUGAAAUGCAUAGAUAUCACACAGAACACCGAUUGCGAAGGCAUCUCACGAAUGCGCGAUUGACGCUGAUGCACGAAAGCGUGGGUAUCAAACAGGAUUAGAUACCCCAGUAGUC